AUUGAACGCUGGCGGCAUGCCUUACACAUGCAAGUCGAACGGCAGCGGACCUUCGGGUGCCGGCGAGUGGCGAACGGGUGAGUAAUAUAUCGGAACGUACCUUUCAGUGGGGGAUAACGUAGCGAAAGUUACGCUAAUACCGCAUAUUCUGUGAGCAGGAAAGCAGGGGAUCGCAAGACCUUGCGCUGAUUGAGCGGCCGAUAUCAGAUUAGCUAGUUGGUGAGGUAAAGGCUCACCAAGGCGACGAUCUGUAGCGGGUCUGAGAGGAUGAUCCGCUACACUGGAACUGAGACACGGUCCAGACUCCUACGGGAGGCAGCAGUGGGGAAUUUUGGACAAUGGGCGCAAGCCUGAUCCAGCCAUGCCGCGUGAGUGAAGAAGGCCUCGGUUGUAAG
rnacentral:rRNA from 1 species